rnacentral:rRNA from 1 species
CAGCAGCCACGGUAAUACAGAGGGUGCGAGCGUUAAUCGGAUUUACUGGGCGUAAAGCGUGCGUAGGCGGCUUCUUAAGUCGGAUGUGAAAUCCCUGAGCUUAACUUAGGAAUUGCAUUCGAUACUGGGAAGCUAGAGUAUGGGAGAGGAUGGUAGAAUUCCAGGUGUAGCGGUGAAAUGCGUAGAGAUCUGGAGGAAUACCGAUGGCGAAGGCAGCCAUCUGGCCUAAUACUGACGCUGAGGUACGAAAGCAUGGGGAGCAAACAGGAAUAGAUACCCCUGUAGUCCCUGUCUCUUAUAC